AUGUGUGUGUUUCUUCUUGUCUUGUGUGUUCUUAUGAGACACCAUGAAAGAGAAGAGAGAGUUGUGCGAAAGGAGGAAGAAGGACAGCGGCGCUGUGAGGAGGCGGCGCCAACAAUUGGCAUCAGAGCGACCAGGUUCGAGGAGCGGCCGUGGCGUGCGGCGGCGUCCGUGGCACACGGGGUGAGCGCGGCGGACAUGGAGGCAUCGGCUGCGGUGCAUGGCAAGUCCGCGGCGAUGCAGUGUGAUGCCGUGCGUGUGACGAACAGCGGCGGUCGCGGAGGACCUGCGUGGUGGCGCAAAGGCCGCGGCGGCUCAGCGCGACGACCGUGGAGGCGCAGUGGCGCGUGGCAUGGAUAUGUGGCACGUCGGCGGAGGCCGCUGCGGCGCGGUGCUACGUCAUGA
rnacentral:rRNA from 1 species